rnacentral:rRNA from 1 species
AGAGGGGGCUUAGUGGUGGGGUGACUGCGUACCUUUUGUAUAAUGGGUCAGCGACUUAUAUUCUGUAGCAAGGUUAACCGAAUAGGGGAGCCGGAGGGAAACCGAGUCUUAAUUGGGCGUUAAGUUGCAGGGUAUAGACCCGAAACCCGGUGAUCUAGCCAUGGGCAGGUUGAAGGUUGGGUAACACUAACUGGAGGACCGAACCGACUAAUGUUGAAAAAUUAGCGGAUGACCUGUGGCUGGGGGUGAAAGGCCAAUCAAACCGGGAGAUAGCUGGUUCUCCCCGAAAGCUAUUUAGGUAGCGCCUCGUGAAUUCAUCUCCGGGGGUAGAGCACUGUUUCGGCUAGGGGGCCAUCCCGGCUUACCAACCCGAUGCAAACUGCGAAUACCGGAGAAUGUUAUCACGGGAGACACACGGCGGGUGCUAACGUCCGUCGUGAAGAGGGAAACAACCCAGACCGCCAGCUAAGGUCCCAAAGUCAUGGUUAAGUGGGAAACGAUGUGGGAAGGCCCAGACAGCCAGGAUGUUGGCUUAGAAGCAGCCAUCAUUUAAAGAAAGCGUAAUAGCUCACUGGUCGAGUCGGCCUGCGCGGAAGAUGUAACGGGGCUAAACCAUGCACCGAAGCUGCGGCAGCGAACGUAUCACCCAAGACAACUUUACGGAGUUGACGAUUGACGGAGCGAAGCGACGUCAAAGCGUUCAUUAAAGUCGAGUUGGCUUAGGGAUACGUUCGUUGGGUAGGGGAGCGUUCUGUAAGCCUGUGAAGGUGUGUCGUGAGGCAUGCUGGAGGUAUCAGAAGUGCGAAUGCUGACAUAAGUAACGAUAAAGCGGGUGAAAAGCCCGCUCGCCGGAAGACCAAGGGUUCCUGUCCAACGUUAAUCGGGGCAGGGUGAGUCGACCCCUAAGGCGAGGCCGAAAGGCGUAGUCGAUGGGAAACGGGUUAAUAUUCCCGUACUUGGUGUUACUGCGAAGGGGGGACGGAGAAGGCUAUGUUGGCCGGGCGACGGUUGUCCCGGUUUAAGCGUGUAGGUGUGUGUUCCAGGUAAAUCCGGUUCACUUUAACACUGAGGCGUGACGACGAGGCACUACGGUGCUGAAGCAACAAAUGCCCUGCUUCCAGGAAAAGCCUCUAAGCAUCAGGUAACACGAAAUCGUACCCCAAACCGACACAGGUGGUCAGGUAGAGAAUACCAAGGCGCUUGAGAGAACUCGGGUGAAGGAACUAGGCAAAAUGGUGCCGUAACUUCGGGAGAAGGCACGCUGACACGUAGGUGAAGUGAUUUACUCAUGGAGCUGAAGUCAGUCGAAGAUACCAGCUGGCUGCAACUGUUUAUUAAAAACACAGCACUGUGCAAACACGAAAGUGGACGUAUACGGUGUGACGCCUGCCCGGUGCCGGAAGGUUAAUUGAUGGGGUCAGCGCAAGCGAAGCUCCUGAUCGAAGCCCCGGUAAACGGCGGCCGUAACUAUAACGGUCCUAAGGUAGCGAAAUUCCUUGUCGGGUAAGUUCCGACCUGCACGAAUGGCGUAAUGAUGGCCAGGCUGUCUCCACCCGAGACUCAGUGAAAUUGAACUCGCUGUGAAGAUGCAGUGUACCCGCGGCAAGACGGAAAGACCCCGUGAACCUUUACUAUAGCUUGACACUGAACAUUGAGCCUUGAUGUGUAGGAUAGGUGGGAGGCUUUGAAGUGUGGACGCCAGUCUGCAUGGAGCCGACCUUGAAAUACCACCCUUUAAUGUUUGAUGUUCUAACGUGGACCCGUAAUCCGGGUUGCGGACAGUGUCUGGUGGGUAGUUUGACUGGGGCGGUCUCCUCCUAAAGAGUAACGGAGGAGCACGAAGGUUGGCUAAUCCUGGUCGGACAUCAGGAGGUUAGUGCAAUGGCAUAAGCCAGCUUGACUGCGAGCGUGACGGCGCGAGCAGGUGCGAAAGCAGGUCAUAGUGAUCCGGUGGUUCUGAAUGGAAGGGCCAUCGCUCAACGGAUAAAAGGUACUCCGGGGAUAACAGGCUGAUACCGCCCAAGAGUUCAUAUCGACGGCGGUGUUUGGCACCUCGAUGUCGGCUCAUCACAUCCUGGGGCUGAAGUAGGUCCCAAGGGUAUGGCUGUUCGCCAUUUAAAGUGGUACGCGAGCUGGGUUUAGAACGUCGUGAGACAGUUCGGUCCCUAUCUGCCGUGGGCGCUGGAGAACUGAGGGGGGCUGCUCCUAGUACGAGAGGACCGGAGUGGACGCAUCACUGGUGUUCGGGUUGUCAUGCCAAUGGCACUGCCCGGUAGCUAAAUGCGGAAGAGAUAAGUGCUGAAAGCAUCUAAGCACGAAACUUGCCCCGA